GUGCUUGCUCCAGCAGCACAUAUACUAAAAUUGGAAUGAUACAGAGAAGAUUAGCAUGGCCCCUGUGCAAGGAUGACAUGCAAAUUCAUGAAGCGCUCCAUAUUUUU
ensembl:snRNA U6 U6 spliceosomal RNA